rnacentral:rRNA from 1 species
UGGGGAAUCUUGAGCAAUGGGCGGAAGCCUGACGCAGCAACGCCGCGUGCGGGAAGAAGGCCUUAGGGUCGUAAACCGCUUUCAGGGGGGACGAAGCUUCCGGGGUUAAUAGCCUACGGGGUGACGGUACUCCCAAAAGAAGGUCCGGCUACCUACGUGCCAGCAGCCGCGGUAAUACGUAGGGACCGAGCGUUGUCCGGAAUCAUUGGGCGUAAAGAGCGUGUAGGCGGCUUGGUAGGUAUCGUGUGA